rnacentral:rRNA from 1 species
GUGGGGAAUAUUGGACAAUGGGGGGAACCCUGAUCCAGCCAUGCCGCGUGUGUGAAGAAGGCCUUUUGGUUGUAAAGCACUUUAAGCGAGGAGGAGGCUACCGAGAUUAAUACUCUUGGAUAGUGGACGUUACUCGCAGAAUAAGCACAGGCUAACUCUGUGCCAGCAGCCGCGGUAAUACAGAGGGUGCAAGCGUUAAUCGGAUUUACUGGGCGUAAAGCGCGCGUAGGUGGCCAAUUAAGUCAAAUGUGAAAUCCCCGAGCUUAACUUGGGAAUUGCAUUCGAUACUGGUUGGCUAGAGUAUGGGAGAGGAUGGUAGAAUUCCAGGUGUAGCGGUGAAAUGCGUAGAGAUCUGGAGGAAUACCGAUGGCGAAGGCAGCCAUCUGGCCUAAUACUGACACUGAGGUGCGAAAGCAUGGGGAGCAAACAGGAUUAGAAACCCCAGUAGUCC